rnacentral:tRNA from 1 species
CACGGCCUUGUGGUGAAUAGCACAUUAGAUUGCAAGUCUAAAGAAGUAGGUAGAUAGCCUACCGGGGCUUU